ACGAGCGCUGGCGGCGUGCUUAACACAUGCAAGUCGAACGGAAAGGCCCUGCUUUUGUGGGGUGCUCGAGUGGCGAACGGGUGAGUAACACGUGAGUAACCUGCCCUUGACUUUGGGAUAACUUCAGGAAACUGGGGCUAAUACCGGAUAGGAGCUCCUGCUGCAUGGUGGGGGUUGGAAAGUUUCGGCGGUUGGGGAUGGACUCGCGGCUUAUCAGCUUGUUGGUGGGGUAGUGGCUUACCAAGGCUUUGACGGGUAGCCGGCCUGAGAGGGUGACCGGCCACAUUGGGACUGAGAUACGGCCCAGACUCCUACGGGAGGCAGCAGUGGGGAAUAUUGCACAAUGGGCGGAAGCCUGAUGCAGCAACGCCGCGUGCGGGAUGACGGCCUUCGGGCUGUAAACCGCUUUCGCCUGUGACGAAGCGUGAGUGACGGUAAUGGGUAAAGAAGCACCGGCUAACUACGUG
rnacentral:rRNA from 1 species